rnacentral:rRNA from 1 species
GAUGAACGCUGGCGGCGUGCUUAACACAUGCAAGUCGAACGGGAAACCUUUUAUUGAAGCUUCGGCAGAUUUAGCUGGUUUCUAGUGGCGGACGGGUGAGUAACGCGUGGGUAACCUGCCUUAUACAGGGGGAUAACAACCAGAAAUGGUUGCUAAUACCGCAUAAGCGCACCGGACCGCAUGGUCCGGUGUGAAAAACUCCGGUGGUAUAAGAUGGACCCGCGUUGGAUUAGCUAGUUGGCAGGGUAACGGCCUACCAAGGCGACGAUCCAUAGCCGGCCUGAGAGGGUGAACGGCCACAUUGGGACUGAGACACGGCCCAGACUCCUACGGGAGGCAGCAGUGGGGAAUAUUGCACAAUGGGGGAAACCCUGAUGCAGCGACGCCGCGUGAAGGAAGAAGUAUCUCGGUAUGUAAACUUCUAUCAGCAGGGAAGAUAGUGACGGUACCUGACGAAGAAGCCCCGGCUAACUACGUG